GCGCGGGGGAAUCCCUGUGGCGGCUCCGCUGCCGCCCCCCGUAGGGGAGUGAGAAAGAUCGGGAGGUGGCCGGAGAAACAUAAGGCGGCCAUGCCGACCUGAGACAGCACUUUCCGGGGAAAAACAUCCUUCUUAUCGACCCUGGAGAUGAGCACAACACAGACACGGCAGGCGCGGGGAUAAGGCCAAGGAGGGCCGGGAGAGGAACGCAGAGCACCCAGGAUGCCCAAAGUCCUCCGACCCAUUUCCGUAAAUGGUCUGACCGAACAGCCUGCCCAUAAUAACUGAUUGCAUAGAAAGUGAGAAACACUUCAAUACGGUGAAGUCGGGCCAUAGAAAGUAUCUCCCAAGCCCGGGCGGUGCCCGCGGGAUAUCCCGCUGGCUGGAUGGAUGCAGGUGGAUAGAGUCUGACACCAGGACUGACCUCCCUUCAGCUGCAUCAGUGCUGGAACCAGGAGCGGUGAUCCCUUCUUUUUCUCUCUUUCUCUCUUGUCCUUUUUAGUUCACCUCUUUUUUCUGUCUUCCCUUUCACACUACUUCUUUAUCUAAGACCCACUGCCACAUGCUUGUACAGUAGGUCAAGGACUAGAAUACCAGUUUCCAUGCUGAGUGUGUGAUUUACUAAUGAAACUUUCUGAUUGUUUGCAGACCCUCUGACUUUUGUUGUUCCUUUCAACUGUGAGCAUUUAUGAAUCUUCCUUCCCCUUAGGAGUGGGGGCUGCCCUCUGUGGGUUUAAUGAUCCCUUAGCUCAGAAUCACAGAAUCUCUUAGGUUGAAAAGAUCUCCAAGAUCACCAAGUCCAAACUUUGACCAUGUCAACCAGAGCAUGGCACGUCCAGUCUUUCCUUAAACAUUUCCAGGGACAGUGAUUCCACCACCUCUCUGGGCAGCCCGUUUCGAUAUCUGGUCACCAUUCCUGUGAAUUUCUUUUUUUCUAAGGUCUAGUUGAAACCUCUCCAUGCACAUUAAACCAUUUCCUCUCCCUGUGUCAUUUGUUGCAUGGGAGAGGAGGCUGACCUCCCCCUUGCUACAAUUUCCUUCCAGGCAGCUUCUAAGAAGCUCAACAAGUGGGUCUUAGUCUGACACACAGGUGUUCUCAUUUUGUGCACUAGGUUAAGCCAGCAUUAGUGCCUUCAAGUCUAAGUAUAGCAUGAGUCAUCCACAUGAGCUUUGUGAGAGGAAAUCUCAUUAAUGCGUAUGAGUAUCUCAAAGGCAGGUGCCAAAGGAUGGUGCCAGACUCUUUUAAGUGGUGCCCAGGGACAUGAAAAGGAGCAAAGGCCAUAAACUAAAACACAAGUUCAGCACAUAAAGUUACAACAUAGCUGUACUCUGGUUUGUUACACAGUUUUUAGUCUUCUUAAAGUUGUGGAAAUCAUAAAAUCAGACUAGUCAGGAUUGAAAGAAAUCUUUAAAGGUCAUCUAGACCAACAGCCUUGCAAUAAGCAUGGACAUCAUCAAUUUCCAGCAGGUGUUUAGGGUCCUUUGCAAACUGAAUUAAUGUUUCCAGAGAUGUGGCUACAGCCGCUGUGGGCAACCUUUUCCAGUGUUUUACCAGUCUUAUAAUGCUCUUCAGCUGUGUCAACAGCACUAUUCAGCUUUGUGUCAUCUCCAAAACUGCUGAGGGUGCAAACAAUCCCAUGAUGUCCAUGUUACUGAUAAAGAUACUGAACAGUAAUGAUAAGAAAUGAAAUAUUAGUAUUAAUUAGAAUUUCAGGUGUGGGGUCCAUAUCUUCUACACAGUGUCCUCAGACCAUUCCAUGGGUGUUUGACUGGGCUCCUAUAGCACAGAACCUGUUUUCACAUGAUACAACAGAAGUUUGGGCUCCCUUCUUUUCUUUGAAAGAAAACACAAAGAAAGCAGUUCAGAAGUUUACUUUUUGCAGUGAGAAGAAAUUGGCAACAGCCUAAGUGCACUGACCAGCAAUUACAGUAGGAGACAAAGCUUCUGUGCUAAUGAUCCCUUAAAUUUAAUUUUCAUGUGACUUAAUAUAAAGCCAGGCAUGCAGUUUCCAUGCUUGGUCUUGGAAGCAUGAGCAGCCUCCAGGAGAAAAAGCAGAAUGAAUGUUCUCAAUAAGAGAAACCAGUAAACUACAGUUCCUCAGAAAAAAUAGGAGAAAGAGUGUUGUUCCAAAGAAACCACAAUCUUUUUCCAUGCUGGAAUAUGACGUGGCUGUUGGAAUAGCCGGAUCUGCUGCUUUUUCUAAAACAAUAUUCAUUUACUAAUAUUGGGUUGGAUUCAAUGAUCUUUAAAGUCUCUUCCAACCUAAUAAUACUGUGAAUUCUGUGAAUAUGUGUGACAUGGAGAAUUGUUCAGGGUGAGCAAACUGUGUUCAAAUUAAAAUCUACAUUUCUCUUGGAAAACGAUGCUCGUAGCUGCUGCUUUGUUAACCAGUUAGCAAAGGAGUGCAAAGCUGCUGACUCAGAUUUGAUUUACACCAUGUCUUCAAGAUCUGCACAGUGGGAAGCUGCCCUCUUGUUCAUACAAUGGAAUAGGGCAGCUGUAUUCCACAACAGCCUGGGGCUUCCAGCAGCUCAGCUUGAAAGGCAGUUGGAUUGGGUCUCUGCACUGGGCCUGUGUGACUGCUGGAGUGGUUUCUGUGGGAAGACAUCGAGAGCUGCCCCUCUGUCCGACAGUCACCUCCAGUUGGCCUCCAGCCAGACCUGCCAUGGCCAAAGCUGAACCCAUCCAUGAUUUUGGUAACAGGAGAGGAUAAGAGAAAGGUGCUUUUUCCGGUAUACUACUCCAUUUUAAACUGGUAAUAAAGUAAUCUUCUCCAAGUGGGUGUUGGAUUUGAAUGUUAAUUUGACAGUGGCCUAGAUGGGACACAUAGUAGUGCUUAUGUCAUUUGGGGUCUUCACCCCAUGCUCAUGUUUUGCUUGCCAUAGUGAUUCAGGAUGAGAACACAGAUGCUUGACACCAGCAGGAGGCUCACACACCGCCAAGGAGAACAGCAAACUCACCAGCUUUUCCUGGGUCUCCUGGGCCUGACAUCCAUAGUGCCACUUGUCACAUCCCACUGGUGGAUGUCCAAACAGCUCUUUCCCUUCAGCUGCUCAUCUGUUCAGCGCUCUCACAAGAAAAUCUUUGGUUUGCCUCGCAGUUUUAUCAGGCACAUAAAUAGACCCUCAAGCAAAAGUCACCCCAAAAGGGCCUGCAAAAGGGAGCCUGGGGUUUUCACACCAGCUGGAGGUCUGGACUUGAAUAUGUGACAUUUUCCUGCUGCACACUUCUGCAACUCCCUCAAUGACCCAAACAGGAAGCUGGAAGGUGCCACAGGCUCUUGGAUCCCUCCCUCACGCUGACAACUGGCACCCAGUGUCUGUGCUUUGGCUGGCUUGUUCCCCAGUGCCCAUCAAGAGUGAUCUGAGCAAGGGGGAAGAGCCUGCAAAUUGCCUUCAUGGGAGAAUUUUCAUUUCUCCGAAAGCUGAACGGAUACAAGCCUGGAAGUUAAAUGGGUCUUUGCGGGGUUGUUUCUCCUCAUAGCUGAACCUAAGGUGGGUGGCUGGACCAUCCUUUGCUGCUCAUGCAGUAACACAUCCAUUUCAGUCUUCUUUUGUGUACAAUGUGUAGAACACCUGGAAUAUUAGAUACACCUCCAAACCAUAAGAGUGACACCAAAUUGCAAAGCCAAUAUAUGAUACUAUGUACAAUGAUUAAUGCUCUUCUAAUGGUUUUGAAAGCGGAAUACCGAAGUCUGUAAAAUACUGCAUAUAUGAUUAAUAAAUACAAAACCAUGAAUAAACAAAGUUGAGAAUCUGUUCCUCAGCUGAGCUGAAGAACCUUAUAUGGGAAAUAGGAGUCAGAACUAAAGAAAUGGAAAGAUUCUUGUUGUUGUAGGUUGUUACUGGAAUAAACCUACUUGAUACAAAGCGGUGUUAUCCUGGGGGGUUUUGUCAUGAGAAAAGUGCAUUAAAGAAUUCAAAGAACUUCUCUGUGAUCAGGAUUUGGAUGUAAUUAAUUUUAAUUCAUCUACACUAGAGAUGUGCAAUGGCAUAUGUGUACCUGUGGUGUGCAUCCCCUGCACUCCUCCUGGGGCCUCACUGUGAUCUGAGAAAUGCUCGUUAGGCCUCGAUCUUCACAAAGAGCACCUGGGCUGCGCUCCUCCUGAGCUUAUGAAAAUCAGUCUGUUCCCAGGAACUAGUACUGUCUAAUGAGCUCCUGAUUUUUAAUGAACAGCCUUGGAAACUUGGAAAUUUCCUUGCCUGGAAAACAACCCAAGCAGAAUAACAAUUUUGUUAUCAAACUUUCAGAGAACCUACUAGCCCAAAUUGCAGUCAGGAUGAAAAAUGUUUAUGAUUGAAGCCCACUCUCUUGUGACUCUACAAGCAAUGCUUCAAAGUGAGACCCUUUGAGCUCUCCUGGACGUCAGAGACUGUGACCAGCACCUCCCUCUAUGUGGGGUCUCUAAGAGCCAGAGAACUCUCAAGUUUGCUAAACUUGGAGAAAUUCUGAAUGACAGUGAUGGAGCCUGGACUAACACCCCCACUUCUCCAGACUCAACCCUUUGCCCAUUGCAAAGAUCGCAACGUAUCAGAUGUGUGUCCUUCACCAAAUUUGAGGGGAAUUUGUCACAUGUACUCUCUGGGUGUCUUGUACAGACUCUUUAGGACUGUGUGCAUGAGGGUCUGAAUAUGCUAUAUAGCAUUUGUACAAGGAAUGAUGCUCUCCUGGAUUCUUAAGUACUUCAGAUUUGUAAAUUAGGUUCAUAAGUUAUUGUCAGUUCUCUGUGAAUCUUUAGAUAAAUUGUUUAACUUAAUCUGUCAGUUAAGUGCUCUUAAGUGCUGUUAAAGCUAUAGGCCUAAACCGUUGGUUAAGUAUGGGGCACAGUUUAGCAAAGGGGUGUACUCUGAAACUUGUGGUGCAAUGGGAGGGUCUUCCUUAUUCCUGUUUGUCCUUACCCCUUUCCUAUCCUUAACCCCAGCCUCCACAGAGGUAAGUUUUGGGUUAAUUUUGUAUUUCAAUUGACUGGUUUUUGGUUUUAGUUUGCUCUUUUUCUGUGUGCGUUAAUCAGAGCAUUAGUAGUAAGUAGUAGAGGGAACCUUGUACAAUAACUACAUCAUGCUUCCUGUUUUAUAUUAAACCUGCUUUCACCUAUGCCUUUGCUGUGAUUCUUUAGGUGACCUUAAAACACUAAUUUGCCACAGAACACUAAGAAAAAUAAACAGGUGGACACGCGAAUCAAUACGUUUGCACAGUAGUAGGUUUCUGUUGCUGCCAACAAAGGUUUAAGUCGUGCAGUGGCUGAGCAGCAGCACCAUUUUGUGACACAGGUGUGAAACUCUCUGUAAGCUCACACACCUGGGGCUUGGCUCUGCACUUGGCAGGUGGGGGACUCAGCUUCUGGCCUGAGCACUGGCCACUGAUCCCCACCCAAAUCGUUCUCUUGACAGCUACUUCAGCCUCACCCUGUUUCAUUGAUGCUUAAUUGUGACCUGGACAGAUAAUUCAGGUAUUGAUCAGCUCCCAGAGCAUCCAGGGAGCUGCUGGCAACUGGGCUUAAGGUCUGGUCAUUUUAGUUUGUUUUGGAAGCUCUACUUCUAUCAUUAUAGAUAUCCUGCUGGUAUAUUAAGUCUUACCUGGUGUACUAAAUCUUAUCACUGUUAAAGUCACACUAGGAGUGAGACUAAUCUGUCUUCCUUGCUGAGGCUGAGGAGAAAUGCAAGCUGUGUGUGUCAUCAAUGAGGCAAAGUCAUGGGGUUUUUGAAGUUUAUGGACUUAUGUCAGUUUAGAUGCUGAACUAUAGGUAGAAAAACUGUCAGGCAGUCUGCUUAAUAGACCCCCCAUCUAUUAAAAAAGAGAAUUCACACACUCUCCUGCACAUCAGUCCAUCUUGGAGUAUGCCAUCAGCUCUCCAUGAACAGUAAGUAAUAGCGAUAAUAGCAAGUAAUGCAAGAAAAUCAUGUUACAGAAAGGAGGCUGCGGCUGAUGGCAGAGCAAAGGACAGAGAUCUGUCCCUACCUUGUCACCUGUGGCAAGAUAAUGAAUCUGUCUAGUUUCCAUCUGAAAUGCCUGAUUUCAUUGCAGUUUCUUGGGAUCUCGACUCCUUUCAGAAAUGAAGCCAGCCCUCAUGCUUUUUAGGCUUUUUGGCCCAACACUAGCAUCUAAGCAGAUGAAAAUAAUGAUGAUUGCUGCCAAUCCCUGGUACCAAUAAUUUUUCAAAAGGUCAUGUUUUCUGUCACUGCUUUAAGUAGGGCUGUGAGGCUUGUUACAAAUGCUCAGAUAUAGGCAUGUUGUGUUAAACCCUGACACGUGGAGUGUCCCAGGGUACUUGUUGGGCCCAUCAGUUCAGAGACACACUGUUGGAGGUCUUGUGUCACAUCUGCUGGCCUCCUCUGGGUGGUUUGUCUGAGCAGAAGUGUCUGAAGAGUGCCACCCCACCUGAGUGCUAUUCCUGGGCUUUGGGAUUGCUGAGGUUUCCUCGCCCUGACGCAGUUUCCAGGUCUUCAUCAUUAUAUGACCUUGUGUGGGAUGAACAGAGGAGUGCUUCCUCACCUCAAGGAGGUCGUGGGGGAAGGAGCACACUCAGAACCUCACAAACAUGUUCGUUUAGGAUAGGUAGUAUACAUUUCCAACAGCUAUGACAGUCAUUUCACAAUAUUAUUUCAACUUUGUGGCAUGUUUUUUUGUAGUGCUGAGGACAGACAUAGAUCCUCUUUCAAGGAGCUCAUAAUCUGUGAAAACAAAUGACAGAUGGAUGAAAAGCAUGCCAAUAGGGUGACAAGAUCAGAGUUAUCACAUCAGACUGAUCUUGCCCAGCCACAGAUGCUCAGGAACAUUCCACACCCUGUGAGCUUUGGUGACCGUUACCUCAAAUUUUGUCUACUUCUUCUCUUCAGCCUUCCAUGCCAGCCAGCUGCUCCAGAGUGGGAUGCUGUCUGCUCCUUAAAAUAAACCCUUCUCACAGCAUUAUCUUGA